rnacentral:rRNA from 1 species
GACGAACGCUGGCGGCGUGCCUAAUACAUGCAAGUAGAACGCACAGUUUAUACCGUAGCUUGCUACACCAUAGACUGUGAGUUGCGAACGGGUGAGUAACGCGUAGGUAACCUGCCUGGUAGCGGGGGAUAACUAUUGGAAACGAUAGCUAAUACCGCAUAAUAUUGAUUAUUGCAUGAUAAUUGAUUGAAAGAUGCUAUUGCAUCACUACCAGAUGGACCUGCGUUGUAUUAGCUAGUAGGUGAGGUAACGGCUCACCUAGGCGACGAUACAUAGCCGACCUGAGAGGGUGAUCGGCCACACUGGGACUGAGACACGGCCCAGACUCCUACGGGAGGCAGCAGUAGGGAAGCUUCGGCAAUGGACGAAAGUCUGACCGAGCAACGCCGCGUGAGUGAAGAAGGUUGUCGGAUCGUAAAGCUCUGUUGUAAGAGAAGAACGGGUGUGAGAGUGGAAAGUUCACACUGUGACGGUAUCUUACCAGAAAGGGACGGCUAACUACGUG